CACGCCGUAAACGAUGGAUGCUAGCUGUUAGGAGUAUCGACCCUUCUAGUAGCGAAGCUAACGCGUUAAGCAUCCCGCCUGGGGAGUACGGUCGCAAGAUUAAAACUCAAAGGAAUUGAC
rnacentral:rRNA from 1 species